AUUGAACGCUGGCGGCAGGCUUAACACAUGCAAGUCGAGCGGGGUGAUGGUGCUUGCACUAUCACUUAGCGGCGGACGGGUGAGUAAUGCUUAGGAAUCUGCCUAUUAGUGGGGGACAACAUCUCGAAAGGGAUGCUAAUACCGCAUACGUCCUACGGGAGAAAGCAGGGGAUCACUUGUGACCUUGCGCUAAUAGAUGAGCCUAAGUCGGAUUAGCUAGUUGGUGGGGUAAAGGCCUACCAAGGCGACGAUCUGUAGCGGGUCUGAGAGGAUGAUCCGCCAGACUGGGACUGAGACACGGCCCAGACUCCUACGGGAGGCAGCAGUGGGGAAUAGUGGACAAUGGGGGGAACCCUGAUCCAGCCAUGCCGCGUGUGUGAAGAAGGCCUUAUGGUUGUAAAGCACUUUAAGCGAGGAGGAGGCUCUUUUGGUUAAUACCCAAGAUGAGUGGACGUUACUCGCAGAAUAAGCACCGGCUAACUCUGUGCCAGCCGCCGCAGUAA
rnacentral:rRNA from 1 species